rnacentral:rRNA from 1 species
CAUGCAAGUCGAACGAUGAACCGGUGCUUGCACUGGGGAUUAGUGGCGAACGGGUGAGUAACACGUGAGUAACCUGCCCUUAACUCUGGGAUAAGCCUUGGAAACGAGGUCUAAUACUGGAUAUUGACUUUUCCUCGCAUGGGGAUUGGUUGAAAGAUUUAUUGGUUUUGGAUGGACUCGCGGCCUAUCAGCUUGUUGGUGAGGUAAUGGCUCACCAAGGCGACGACGGGUAGCCGGCCUGAGAGGGUGACCGGCCACACUGGGACUGAGACACGGCCCAGACUCCUACGGGAGGCAGCAGUGGGGAAUAUUGCACAAUGGGCGAAAGCCUGAUGCAGCGACGCCGCGUGAGGGAUGACGGCCUUCGGGUUGUAAACCUCUUUCAGUAGGGAACAAGGCCAGACGUUGUCUGGUUGAGGGUACUUGCAGAAGAAGCGCCGGCUAACUACGUGCCAGCAGCCGCGGUAAUACGUAGGGCGCAAGCGUUAUCCGGAAUUAUUGGGCGUAAAGAGCUCGUAGGCGGUUUGUCGCGUCUGCCGUGAAAGUCCGGGGCUCAACUCCGGAUCUGCGGUGGGUACGGGCAGACUAGAGUGAUGUAGGGGAGACUGGAAUUCCUGGUGUAGCGGUGAAAUGCGCAGAUAUCAGGAGGAACACCGAUGGCGAAGGCAGGUCUCUGGGCAUUAACUGACGCUGAGGAGCGAAAGCAUGGGGAGCGAACAGGAUUAGAUACCCUGGUAGUCCAUGCCGUAAACGUUGGGCACUAGGUGUGGGGGACAUUCCACGUUUUCCGCGCCGUAGCUAACGCAUUAAGUGCCCCGCCUGGGGAGUACGGCCGCAAGGCUAAAACUCAAAGGAAUUGACGGGGGCCCGCACAAGCGGCGGAGCAUGCGGAUUAAUUCGAUGCAACGCGAAGAACCUUACCAAGGCUUGACAUGAACUGGAAACGCUUGGAAACAAGUGCCCCGCUUGCGGUCGGUUUACAGGUGGUGCAUGGUUGUCGUCAGCUCGUGUCGGGAAAUGUUGGGUAAGUCCCGCAACGAGCGAACC